rnacentral:RNase_P_RNA from 1 species
UGAGUAGACUGGAUGACCGCAAGGGCUGAUGCCGAAAGGCCACCCUUGAGGAAAGUCCGAGCUCCGUAGGGCAGGGUGCUGGGUAACGCCCAGUAGGGGUAACCCUAAGGAUAGUGCCACAGAAAUAAACCGCCUGGCACUUAUUAUAACAAAUAAGUGCCGGGUAAGGAUGGA